ACCAGGCACUGUGGCGCGUGGCUAUAGUCCCAGCUAUGCCUGAUGCUGAGGUGGGAGGAUCACUUGAGCCCAGGAGUUCUGGGCUGUAGUGCGCUAUGCCGAAUGGGUGUCCAUACUAAGUUUGAUAUCAAUACGGUGACCUCCCAGGAGCAGGGGACCACCAGCUUGCCUAAGUGGGGGUGAACUGGCCCAGGUCGGAAGUGGAACAGGUCAAAACUCCCAUGCUGAUCAGUAGUGGGAUUGCGCUUCUGAAUAGCCACUGCACUCCAGCCUGGGCAACAUAGCGAGACCCUGUCUCU
rnacentral:SRP_RNA from 1 species